rnacentral:lncRNA from 1 species
CCUGGUCCAACAUUUAGGUGAAGCCUUUCGAAUAUUUUUUGUUGAGUGAGAGAGGAGGUCAUUUUGAAGAAGUCCAACCUUUAGUGCAGUCAUUGCUACAGAUUGUCCAAGUUCUACACUUCCAAGGUCGCAGUAUUAAAGUGGUUGAUAUAGUCCCCAAGUGGCUCAUCCUCCCACUGCUAUAUCCUAACGAGAAAGUAUUGAAGUGGUUGAUAUAGUCCCCAAGUGGCUCAUCCUCUCGCUGCUUUAUCCUAAUGAGGAUAUCUGAGUUGCGAUGCUGUCGAUGACUACUAACAAAGUGCACAAUGAACAUUCAGCUUAGCUGAUGAAAAGAGUCCACGAUGAUUGGUUGCAGGCUCGAAUACCAGUAGCAGAUGGCCUUCCUCAGGGUCGAAGGAAAAGCCUAGCAAAGGGUUGUGUCAGUUGCUCCUUGUAGGAGCAUAAGGGAUUUAAAAUUUUCUAAAUAGUUCCAUCGUAUGGCUCCAAUUGAGACAUUUUGAAUUGAGACAGUAACGAUUCACUCAUGAUCCUCUAUGUGAAUGGCGGGUCUAUGUUGAAAUCCAGAUCGGUGUCCUGUUGCCGUGGUGCUUGUAGCGCAUCAAUCCAUUGCUCCCAGAGCCUUCUCUCCAAGUCGUCCUCCCGAGUUGGGGAGCGGCGAGGAGAAAAGUAACCUGGUGUCAAAUCUCUUCUUGAGAUCAGGGUGGACGAUCGUCUAUGCCUCUGUGAAACUAGACUAUCAGGUCAGCUAAGACGGCUGGCACCCACCCUUGGGCUAUGGAGAGGUUGGUCAGCCGACCUUCCUAGGACAAGUUGUGGAAUCUCUAGAGCGGGAUGAGACUCGGUAUUCUACUACAUCCCCCUCACUACGCCUGAAAAAGUCUGCACCUGUUGGACGAGGCUAUUGUACUGGUCCUGAGAGACCACCGAUGCUGCUGGUAGGAGAUUCUCUUGGAUAGGCGAUGGAGGCAUGUUCUCCGACAGGGCAUUAUUGGCCUACCUACCAUUAGAACAAUACAACGCAUUCGAUGCUCUCCUUCGUAUCUUCAUGGCGAUCUACGGUAAACUCUCUUCUCUCAGAACAAGAUCCCGAAGUUAGUUGUGGGGCCCUUCCUCUAGCACCAAGUGUUGCUUUCGAUCUCUGUGCUUAAGAUCGGAUAGCUGAAGCGAAGAUGGCCGAAGUAAUGCUAUUGUUGGAGCUCUGCCUGAGUACCUGCAAAAAGUUUUCACCAAAGUGCUCUUCGAUGAAAACCUUCUAACGCUCAAGUCAAGAGAUGGAGAACAAUGAGAAGAGAGAGUAGGAGUGGAGAACUUACUUUGAGAGUCUCUAUGUCCCUUUAUUUAUAGGGGAGAAAUUAGAGUCAUAUACGUCUUGCUUGCUUAUCAGAUUUGGCGUGUAGAUUAAUUCGGAGAGUAAUUUCUUUUUGUGGGAGACUCGAUCGUGAAGAAAUCUUUUAUUAUCUGGACUUUCUCAAUUUAGGAGAGAGACGGACUCUACCUGGGAAGACCGUAACUUGGAUAUGGAUGACCUAAAAUAGCUCGAUAUGGUGUGUUCAGCAACCUUCGGAUCUAUUGUAUAUAUGCGAUCUGAUUAGUGUCCAUCUUCCAUAGUCUAUGCAUCUAGCCGAGGCUGAGAUGGAGAUUCAUAAUAAUUACUUUCUCAAAAAAAUUAUUAUUAUUAUUAUUAAACCAUCCUCGAAUAAAUACAGCCAUAGAAAUUAAAAAAUAAAAUGUUUGAAAAUUCAAUAGAAAUAUCUGUCAAAGUUGUACGUGAGCGUAGAUCCAAUAUGAAUGGGCAGCUCAUCAAAAAAAAAAUACGAAUGGGCAGGACAAAGUGAUAUCCAAGUCAAAAGCAGCAAAAAAUUGGAGAACCAUGAUAGGGACACCAAAGCAGUGCGGUCUUACGCUUUGAAAUGGUCCAUAACGGGGUGCUCUAGAUUCGCCUUGAUGGGCUUGAGCAAAUAGUUCCACACGCUAUUGGAAAAAGCAUGCCCACGGCAUCGGUAAUCUUCUAACGUCUUCAAAGAUUUUGAUUUGCAGUUCGGGCGCACCCAUAGUCCAGCUUCCAAAGACGACUGGAAGGGGCCAAAAUCCACAAUUUGGAAAAUAUGAAGAAUUUGGCAGCUUCUAGGAAGGAACAAAAAUUAACUUAAGAAAUUAACAAGAAAGAACACCAUUAACAAUAUGCUAAUAAGGAUAUUAUGGUAAAAUAAAAAAUGAGAUUAAAAGCAAUAGUCCACAUUAAAAACACAACAUCUAGUGGGAAAAAGAGAACUGAACAAUUAAGUCGGCUGAGCCAUGUAUGAUUCAGGAAAUCUGCACUACAUUCAACCAUCCCAAUAAAUCUGUUAACAUUUGGUCGAUAAAAGAAUCAACAAUGAUCUCAAUUCUUCAAUAAUUCAGAGAAUAGUGCCACUGUGCUCAUAUGUGUACCGCACCCAACAACUCAAUUUCGUCCUGCUUAAGCUAAAAUAAUGAGAAAUACUUACCCUACGCCAACUUGGACUUAUCCUAUUUGCAUCCCAACUCAGGAGGUGCAAGCUAGAUUGCACCCAAACUUAAGGACUGACCACAGAUUGAAAUAUCGUCCACCAAUAAUUAGCAUUGAGCAGAUAACUCACUCUUUUUUGAAACUAAUAAAGCUAAAGUAACAUAACAUUAGCGCAUGUGAGAAAGAGUUAAGUUUGAACUGACAUCUUUUGCUUCUGGGGGUUGGCUUCAAUAUCCCCUGUUGCGAUACAAAAAAGCUCAAAAAUUUGCCGGAGGUGACACCAAACACGCAUUUACUGGGAUUGAGCUUCAUUUGAAAAUAUUGCAAUUUGACGAACGUCUACUCAAGAUCGGUGAUGUGGUGCUCGCUCUGCUUUUAACGAAUAUAUCAUCCACGUAUAUUUUCAUAUUCCUGCUGAUCUGCUUCUUAAAGACUUUGUUAAUGAGCCGUCGAUAAAUCGCACUUACAUUCUUUAAACCAAACGGUAUGAUCUUGUAGUAAAAAAGAUCUUGAUCAGUGACAAAAGAGGCCUUCUCCUCAAUUUCAGAAGCCAUCCGAAUUUGGUUGUAUUAAAAAAAUGCAUCCAUGAAAGAUAGGAGAUGAUGUCCAAAGGUUGCAUCUACUAGUUGAUUGAUCCGAGGUAAAGAAUAGUUAUCCUUGGGACACGCCUUGUUAAGAUCGGUAUAAUCGAUGCAUGCAUGCCACUUUCUAUUAGCCUUCUUGACUAGUACGAUAUUGGCUAACCACUCCGGAUAGUAGACUUCUCGGAUAAAUCCCACCUUCAGAAGCUUAUCAAGCUCUUCUUAUAUUUCUUUUUGUCACUCAGGGGUGAAGCUGCAUUUCUUCUGGUUGAUCGGAUGGUAUAUGCUUCAUAUCUACAUUUAGUCGAUGUACUAUGAUCUCUGGAUCGAUGCCUGACAUAUCAGAAGCUGACCAGACGAGCACAUUUGUAUUAGCUUGGAGAAAAGAGAUGACGUACGAAUGAUCCUCUUCACAUAGGUUUGAGCCAAUCUUAACAAUUUUGAUUGGAUCUCCAUCAACUGGCACUGGGAUGAGGUCUUCCACUAGCUGGCCUCUCUGUUCAGUCUGCUCAUCCCUCACAUCAAGCUCAUUUGUUGACUGUUCUAUUAGUGAUGCUCCACAUAAAGUUGCCAUGUAACAUUCUCUUGUUAAUUGCUGAUUUUUCUGGAGCUCGCCGAUCCCAUAAGGAAUAGAAAAUUUUACUGUCAAAUGGUAGGUCGACAUUAUGGCUCAGAGAAUAUUCAAC